GGAAGGGGACAGUCAAGGGGAGAAUCAAUCCUAGCAAUUUGGAAAGGAUAUUACUUCAAUCAAAACCAAAUUAAUUCCUAAAACUUGCUAUCCAGUGGUUAGGUCACUGCUGGGGUUGCAAUGACAUUCAGGAAAACACACCCUCGCCCAUC